rnacentral:rRNA from 1 species
ACUCCUACGGGAGGCAGCAGUCGAGAAUCAUUCACAAUGGACGAAAGUCUGAUGGUGCGACGCCGCGUGGAGGAUGACGGCCCUAGGGUUGUAAACUCCUGUCAUCAGAGAGUAAAGCUGCGUGGUUAAUACCUGCGUAGACUGAUAGUAUCUGAAGAGGAAGGGACGGCUAACUUCGUGCCAGCAGCCGCGGUAAUACGAAGGUCCCAAGCGUUGUUCGGAAUUACUGGGCGUAAAGCGUGUGUAGGCGGUUGGGUAAGUCAGAUGUGAAAUCCCGGGGCUCAACCUCGGAACUGCAUCCGAUACUGCCUGACUAGAGGACUGGAGGGGAGUCUGGAAUUCUCGGUGUAGCAGUGAAAUGCGUAGAUAUCGAGAGGAACACUAGUGGCGAAGGCGAGACUCUGGACAGAUCCUGACGCUGAGACACGAAGGCCAGGGUAGCGAACGGGAUUAGAUACCCUGGU